AAAAACAGAGAGGGGCGGCUAGGUUUUGGGCAUGAAAGCUUCGGCGAACUGGGAAAGAAAGAAAAAAGAAGAAGAGCGCGAGGGAUAAAAAGGAAAAGCAGAGGGAAAAGAGGAACCAGGCGGCGGGCUGAGCAAAAAAUGGAGGAAACAAGCAACGAAAAAAACACACAAAAGGGAAAUGGGGGUUUCAGCUUCAAUCAUCCGAUAAAAAUUUUUCCAAUCACCACUGCCAAAUUUCCCACCACCUCAACCGGCUGCCGGCUGCCACCACUCUCUUUCCACCCUCCGUCCUCAAAUUCCCCCCAAUUUCCCCAAACGAAUCCUCCACAAAAACCCCUCAUUUCCCAUUCUGCUCCUCCCCACUUCUAAUACAAGCCUUUUCUGCCAACGCCUCCACCACAGCCCUUCCCCUUUACCGCCGUCUCUAUCCGCGCCAAGCCCAAAAAAAAACUCAUCCUCAGCAACCUUUCUGUUCUCGGUGAAAAGGGCAAGAACAGCUACGACGUCGAGACUCUCAUCAAAUUCUUCUCCACCUGCUCCUCUUCCGUGGAUGGCUUGAGCAGCAACAGCAGCGGAGAUUUCCAACUCACCGAGCCGUCACCACCCAUCGGAUAUCCAUUGCCGCCUGCGAAUUUCACCAAGAAAGCCUU
rnacentral:lncRNA from 1 species